GCCCGCCUAGCUCAAUCGGAUAGAGCGUCAGACUCUUACACAGGCGGGUUCAUUCCUGAAUCCAAUGGUACCGGAAUCUGAAGGCUGCGAGUUCGACCCUCGCGGUGGGCU